UCCCUUUGCAAUGCCUAGCGGUUAUGAUACUCGGCUUGUAACAGAGUGGGCUCGGGUUCGAAUCCCGAAUAAGGAU